UCCUCCUUAGCUCAGUUGGUUAGAGCAUCUGACUGUUAAUCAGAGGGUCGUAAGUUCAAGUCUUACAGGGGGAG
rnacentral:tRNA from 1 species